rnacentral:rRNA from 1 species
GACGAACGCUGGCGGCGUGCUUAACACAUGCAAGUCGAACGGAAAGGCCUCUUUCGGGGGGUACUCGAGUGGCGAACGGGUGAGUAACACGUGAGUAACCUGCCCUUGUCUUUGGGAUAACUUCAGUAAACUGGGGCUAAUACCGGCUAGGAGCUCCUGCUGCAUGGUGGGGGUUGGAAAGUUUCGGCGGUUGGGGGUGGACUCGCGGCUUAUCAGCUUGUUGUUGGGGUAGUGGCUUACCAAGGCUUUGACGGGUAGCCGGCCUGAGAGGGUGACCGGCCACAUUGGGACUGAGAUACGGCCCAGACUCCUACGGGAGGCAGCAGUGGGGAAGAUUGCACAAUGGGUGGAAGCCUGAUGCAGCAACGCCGUGUGCGGGAUGACGGCCUUCGGGUUGUAAACCGCUUUCGCUCAUGACGAAGCUUUGUGUGACGGUAGUGGGUAAAGAAGCACCGGCUAACUACGUG